CAAACCAUUAUAAUUCCAGGUCAACUCUGAUAAGAUGAAGAUUGUAAUUGUCUUUGUACUCUUACUGGCAGUUGGGAUAGACUGCAGACGGAAGAAAUUGAAACCAACCGAGCCAACUAAAAUAUGCCCGGGAGAUUUAGAGUGGUAUUCCUGCGGUUCCGCGUGUCCGCAGAUUUGCGGGAAAGAGGAACAAUUGUUCUGCAUCAUGAUGUGUGUCUCUGGCUGUGCUUGCCCCCAGGACAAGAAAAUCCGGGUCAGCGAGACCAGCACCCAGUGUGUGAAGAGCAGGGAGGACUGUCCGCAGUGAAAUGGCAAUCAAUAUUGUCUCAAUAUUCUGUCACCAAGUAUGAUUUUAAUUAAAAUGAUAUGUAAUAAACGGAAUUGAGAUUA